rnacentral:rRNA from 1 species
GAUGAACGCUAGCUACAGGCUUAACACAUGCAAGUCGAGGGGCAGCAUGAACUUAGCUUGCUAAGUUUGAUGGCGACCGGCGCACGGGUGAGUAACACGUAUCCAACCUGCCGAUGACUCGGGGAUAGCCUUUCGAAAGAAAGAUUAAUACCCGAUGGCAUAGUUCUUCCGCAUGGUAGAACUAUUAAAGAAUUUCGGUCAUCGAUGGGGAUGCGUUCCAUUAGGUUGUUGGCGGGGUAACGGCCCACCAAGCCUUCCAUGGAUAGGGGUUCUGAGAGGAAGGUCCCCCACAUUGGAACUGAGACACGGUCCAAACUCCUACGGGAGGCAGCAGUGAGGAAUAUUGGUCAAUGGACGAGAGUCUGAACCAGCCAAGUAGCGUGAAGGAUGACUGCCCUAUGGGUUGUAAACUUCUUUUAUACGGGAAUAAAGUGAGGCACGUGUGCCUUUUUGUAUGUACCGUAUGAAUAAGGAUCGGCUAACUCCGUG